rnacentral:rRNA from 1 species
AUUGAACGCUGGCGGCAGGCCUAACACAUGCAAGUCGAGCGGAUGAAGGGAGCUUGCUCCUGGAUUCAGCGGCGGACGGGUGAGUAAUGCCUAGGAAUCUGCCUGGUAGUGGGGGAUAACGUCCGGAAACGGGCGCUAAUACCGCAUAAGUCCUGAGGGAGAAAGUGGGGGAUCUUCGGACCUCACGCUAUCAGAUGAGCCUAGGUCGGAUUAGCUAGUUGGUGGGGUAAAGGCCUACCAAGGCGACGAUCCGUAACUGGUCUGAGAGGAUGAUCAGUCACCCUGGAACUUGGACACCGUCCUUACUCCUACGGGAGGCAGCAGUGGGGAAUGGUGGGCAAUGGUGGAAAGCCUUAUCCAGCCGUGCCGCGUGUGUUGAGGAAGUCUUCGGAUUGGAAAGCACUUUAAGUUGUGGUGAAGGGCAUUAAGUUGAGACCAUGCUUUUUUGACGUUACCGACAGAAGAAGCACCGGCUAACUUCGUG